rnacentral:rRNA from 1 species
UACGUAGGUGGCAAGCGUUGUCCGGAUUUAUUGGGCUUAAAGGGUGCGUAGGCGGUCUUAUAAGUCAGUGGUGAAAUACGGCAGCUCAACUGUCGAGGUGCCAUUGAUACUGUAGGACUUGAGUACAGACGAGGUAGGCGGAAUUGACGGUGUAGCGGUGAAAUGCUUAGAUAUCGUCAAGAACACCGAUAGCGAAGGCAGCUUACUAGGCUGUAACUGACGCUGAGGCACGAAAGUGUGGGGAUCAAACAGG